UCCCCAGCAGUCCAGUGGUUAAGACUCUGUGCUUCCACUGCAGUGGGCACAGGUUUGAUCCCUGAUGGGGGAA
rnacentral:tRNA from 1 species